rnacentral:rRNA from 1 species
AACUCUGGUAUUGAUUGGUGCUUGCAUCAUGAUUUACAUUUGAGUGAGUGGCGAACUGGUGAGUAACACGUGGGAAACCUGCCCAGAAGCGGGGGAUAACACCUGGAAACAGAUGCUAAUACCGCAUAACAACUUGGACCGCAUGGUCCGAGUUUGAAAGAUGGCUUCGGCUAUCACUUUUGGAUGGUCCCGCGGCGUAUUAGCUAGAUGGUGGGGUAACGGCUCACCAUGGCAAUGAUACGUAGCCGACCUGAGAGGGUAAUCGGCCACAUUGGGACUGAGACACGGCCCAAACUCCUACGGGAGGCAGCAGUAGGGAAUCUUCCACAAUGGACGAAAGUCUGAUGGAGCAACGCCGCGUGAGUGAAGAAGGGUUUCGGCUCGUAAAACUCUGUUGUUAAAGAAGAACAUAUCUGAGAGUAACUGUUCAGGUAUUGACGGUAUUUAACCAGAAAGCCACGGCUAACUACGUGCCAGCAGCCGCGGUAAUACGUAGGUGGCAAGCGUUGUCCGGAUUUAUUGGGCGUAAAGCGAGCGCAGGCGGUUUUUUAAGUCUGAUGUGAAAGCCUUCGGCUCAACCGAAGAAGUGCAUCGGAAACUGGGAAACUUGAGUGCAGAAGAGGACAGUGGAACUCCAUGUGUAGCGGUGAAAUGCGUAGAUAUAUGGAAGAACACCAGUGGCGAAGGCGGCUGUCUGGUCUGUAACUGACGCUGAGGCUCGAAAGUAUGGGUAGCAAACAGGAUUAGAUACCCUGGUAGUCCAUACCGUAAACGAUGAAUGCUAAGUGUUGGAGGGUUUCCGCCCUUCAGUGCUGCAGCUAACGCAUUAAGCAUUCCGCCUGGGGAGUACGGCCGCAAGGCUGAAACUCAAAGGAAUUGACGGGGGCCCGCACAAGCGGUGGAGCAUGUGGUUUAAUUCGAAGCUACGCGAAGAACCUUACCAGGUCUUGACAUACUAUGCAAAUCUAAGAGAUUAGACGUUCCCUUCGGGGACAUGGAUACAGGUGGUGCAUGGUUGUCGUCAGCUCGUGUCGUGAGAUGUUGGGUUAAGUCCCGCAACGAGCGCAACCCUUAUUAUCAGUUGCCAGCAUUAAGUUGGGCACUCUGGUGAGACUGCCGGUGACAAACCGGAGGAAGGUGGGGAUGACGUCAAAUCAUCAUGCCCCUUAUGACCUGGGCUACACACGUGCUACAAUGGAUGGUACAACGAGUUGCGAACUCGCGAGAGUAAGCUAAUCUCUUAAAGCCAUUCUCAGUUCGGAUUGUAGGCUGCAACUCGCCUACAUGAAGUCGGAAUCGCUAGUAAUCGCGGAUCAGCAUGCCGCGGUGAAUACGUUCCCGGGCCUUGUACACACCGCCCGUCACC